UGGGGAAUAUUGCACAAUGGGGGAAACCCUGAUGCAGCAACGCCGCGUGAAGGAAGACGGUUUUCGGAUUGUAAACUUCUGUUCUUAGUGAAGAAUAAUGACGGUAGCUAAGGAGCAAGCCACGGCUAACUACGUGCCAGCAGCCGCGGUAAUACGUAGGUGGCAAGCGUUGUCCGGAAUUACUGGGUGUAAAGGGAGCGCAGGCGGGAGACCAAGUCAGCUGUGAAAACUACGGGCUUAACCUGUAGACUGCAGUUGAAACUGGUUUUCUUGAGUGAAGUAGAGGUUGGCGGAAUUCCGAGUGUAGCGGUGAAAUGCGUAGAUAUUCGGAGGAACACCAGUGGCGAAGGCGGCCUACUGGGCACCAACUGACGCUGAGGCUCGAAGGUAUGGGUAGCAAACAGGAUUAGAUACCC
rnacentral:rRNA from 1 species